rnacentral:rRNA from 1 species
UACGGAGGGAGCAAGCGUUACUCGGAAUUAUUGGGCGUAAAGGGCGCGUAGGCGAUUUGAAAAGUCUUGUGUGAAAGCCCCGAGCUUAACUCGGGAAGUGCACAAGAAACUGUUGAAUUUGAGUUCCGGAGAGGAAGGCAGAAUUCCCGGUGUAGCGGUGAAAUGCGUAGAUAUCGGGAGGAAUACCAGUGACGAAGGCGGCCUUCUGGACGGAUACUGACGCUGAGGCGCGAAAGCCAGGGGAGCAAACGGG